AUACGGAGGGUGCGAGCGUUACUCGGAGUCACUGGGCGUAAAGCGUCCGUAGGCGGUCGGGUAAGUCGGGUGUGAAAGCCCCGGGCUCAACCUGGGAAGUACACCCGAUACUGCUCGACUCGAGUGCGGGAGAGGAUGGCGGAAUUCCCGGUGUAGCGGUGAAAUGCGUAGAGAUCGGGAGGAACACCAGUGGCGAAGGCGGCCAUCUGGCCCGCAACUGACGCUGAGGGACGAAAGCGUGGGGAGCAAACAGGAUUAGAAACCCUAGUAGCCC
rnacentral:rRNA from 1 species